AGCGAACGCUGGCGGCAGGCUUAACACAUGCAAGUCGAGCGGGCAUCUUCGGAUGUCAGCGGCAGACGGGUGGGUAACACGUGGGAACGUACCCUUCGGUUCGGAACAACUCUGGGAAACUGGAGCUAAUACCGGAUACGCCCUUAUGGGGAAAGGUUUACUGCCGAAGGAUCGGCCCGCGUCUGAUUAGCUAGUUGGUGGGGUAACGGCCUACCAAGGCGACGAUCAGUAGCUGGUCUGAGAGGAUGAUCAGCCACACUGGGACUGAGACACGGCCCAGACUCCUACGGGAGGCAGCAGUGGGGAAUAUUGGACAAUGGGCGCAAGCCUGAUCCAGCCAUGCCGCGUGAGUGAUGAAGGCCUUAGGGUUGUAAAGCUCUUUUGUCCGGGACGAUAAUGACGGUACCGGAAGAAUAAGCCCCGCCUAACUUCGUG
rnacentral:rRNA from 1 species